rnacentral:misc_RNA from 1 species
AACGCACAUUGCGCCCGGUGGUAUUCCGCCGGGCAUGCCUGUUCGAGCGUCAUUACACCACUCCAGCCCCGCUGGGUGUUGGGCGUCCGCGGUCCGCCGCGCGCCUCAAUGUCUCUCGGCCGCGCCGACCGUCUCCCAGCGUUGUGGCAUACACGAUUCGCUCCGGAGGCCGGCCGUCGCGCCGCCGUCGACCCCCCCUUCUCAUAAGGUUGACCUCGGAUCAGGUAGGGAUACCCGCUGAACUUAA